GAAAAUAAAACACAAUGCACCGCAAUAACGGGAUAGAAACCUUGUGGCUUCAAAAUAGGUGGGAAGAACACAACAAGAUGCACCUGAAAGCGCACAAGACAACCCUGCAAUUUAUGCCACGGCUGGUGUGGAGGAAGGACAGACGAGCAAUGCAUUCUGGGCCAGUGACGUCCAUCACGACCAAGGUGACAGGCUGUCACACCGACUGUCAGUGCAAUGGAUGAGCCUGCGCGUGUCAGGAAGAUUGCUGAUGUCCUGGCCAAGCUUAGUCCAGCAGUCCUCCUGACACUGCGUGGUUUGAAUACCGAUAGUGGAAGUACCUGUUGCGAAGCCUCCUUUGAAGGAAUAAACCAAUUCAAAGUAAACAACACUCUUCUGCAUCCUAUUAUUGUGGAGUGGUUAUGAAGUGUGUGAGGCCUGGCAGAAGGAAUAUGAAAUGGAGAGCAGCCUUGAAGCAGUUCACUCAGAACCGUUUUCUACUUUAAACAAGGCUGGAGAUAAGCUGUGGCGUUCCAAUGGGAUUUUCUCUUCUCCUUUGCCCAAACGGACACAGAGAUGAGAGCACAGAUAGCAGACGGGAGAGGUGAAAGGUGGACCAGAGAUACUGAACCCUGGGGUUUGUGAUGACUAUCUCUGGCAGGACUGCCGGAUAUAAUCCUGAGUGGUCUAGUCUGUGGCGCAGUUAAGAACUGCUUUGUGUAUGACUGACAAAUGACCUGGGUGAGCGUUGCAGUGAUUACAUCAACUGGAGGAUGAGGAGGAGGAGAGCAGGAGCAGGCAGAAGCGAGUCUGAGAGGAGGACAGCAGGGCUGCAGGGGAGGUUAUGCAAGGCUGCUGUUUACUGGCUCUGAGGAAUGCUGAGUGACAGAGUGGACAAAAUACCUAAUUUUUUUCACGACGGCCAUGCUGGAGCUCCCAAUGACAAGACUAUCAAUGGUGGAGACAUGUGCCUGUUUGACAUGGGUGGAGAGUACUACUGCAACUCUUCCGACAGCUGCUCUGCUCCUGCUCUUCUACAGCAGGACUUUCUCAGAGGCUGUGCUCAAAUCCUGCCAAGCUGCCAUGGCUGCCACAAAACCAGAAUAACCCCCCUCGCCCUUUCCUGGAUUGAGGAAAACAUUGCGGUGACCGCAGAUGGGAUCGAGUUGCUCACCUCCAUCCCACACACCAUCAAGGAGAUCAAGGAGUUCAUGGAGGAGGCCCAGGGUGACCCCAAGUCAUUCAGCCCCGUCAGCCAGAAGCUCUGAGAGGACAGGCUGGAGCUGCGGUUUCAUCCCAAAUCCACGUUUUAGAGCUUGUCUGAAAUGGGAAGUUAGCUUUGAUUUCCAGAUCUAUACAACGGUCUGAUAUGCAUGCUAACUUUUAAAUAUAAUUUGUUGGGCAUCAGUGACUGGUCUGGUUGUCUGAGAUUGUAUAUCCUCAGACAGCUUAACAUUUAAAGAUCACAUUAUAUUUUGAUCACUUUAGCAUCAAAUGCUCUUAAAACAAUGCAGGCUACCUGCAAUGGCAUGCAUCAUUGUUAGCAGAUUAUCUACAGAGAUUGCUGAAUCGGGUCUUUGAGCAGGUCCAAAGAAUAGAAUAUUGUGAUUCACUUGCUUUUUAGAAAUAUAAGAUACAUGUUUGCAUGGAAGUA
ensembl:lncRNA